rnacentral:lncRNA from 1 species
AGAAUAGAAUUUUCAUAAAGUAUUUUUUUUUUAUAUUAGAGAAUAAAACAAAAAAAAGGAAAAGAAAUUAGAGAGAGAGAAGUGAUUGUGGAAUGUGGAGUAGGGCUUUGGAUUCCAACAUAACAACUCUGGAAAUUGGUGAGAGAGAAUAUAAAAAGAAUAAUUAUUUAAUUUAAGAUAAAAAAUGGAAUAGAGGGAGUAGUAUUAUAUUAUAGAGUGUGGGAGAAGGGUAAUUUGGUCAUUUCAGUUGAGGAAUGGGAGCCAAUGGGCUUGGAGGAUUCUUUUGCAUAUACCCAAGAUUGUGAUAAGAAUGAUAAUGAUAUAAUCAUAAUUGAUGGUGACAUAAUGAGUUAAUGAGCACUAAUUAGGCAUAUUUCUUUUAUUUAUUUAGAUAAUAUAAAUGGUUUGUUUGAUAAUAUUUUUAAAAAUCAUAGAUUAUUUAAACCAUAUCCUUUAUAAUAGAUUUAAAUUUAUAUGAAAGAGGUUUUUUUUUUCUUUGCCAUAAUUACAAAAUUCAAAAGCCUAAUACACUAGCCAUACAUAAAAAUAUUAUUUGAAAAAAAAAGGCAAUUAUUUAUAUGCUUCUAAAAAAUUUCCGACUUCCUAAUUUACUCCUUUUAUAAAGUAAUAUUAAUGUUUCAAAUUAUUUCAAAUAUACCUCUAAAGUUAAAUUCUGUGAAUGAACGAUUAGCGAUAGUCGUUAUCUCUAUGAAAUUACUAUUUUGCCCUUUCAAAUAUAUCAUUCUAUUAUUACUAACUUUUCUUAUUUGUCUUUAAAUUAUAGAAAAAAUAUUUUAAUUUUUUAUCUUUUUAAAUAUACUCCUCUGCUAACACCAACUUUUCUUAUUUACCUUUAAGUUAAGGACAAAAGAGGUAGUUUGAUUUUUUAACUCUAAUAGACAUUUAACUCACGUUUAAUUGGAGAUAACUUAACGAAUGGUAACUGCGAGAAUAUUUUUGUUAAAAAAAUUAAUUCAUAUAAAAUUAGAUUAGCCAC